CCUAGCCUGGGGUCUCCGCACCAGCCCCUUCUCUCUUUGACGGCGCCGCCUCCUCAACUCUCUCUCGAUUCCCUUCGCGCCGCCGCACCUGCUCCGGGCCCCUCCUCUUCCCGGCUUCCCCGUGCCGUCGGCCUCCCUCGUCGGUCGUCGCUCCGAGUCGCGGACCUCCUCGCCGCGGUUGCAGUGGCCGAACAAGAUGAAGAGGAGCUGCAGAGUCGGGUCCAUGCAGCGGCCUCCUCCCCGCGGAGGUCAGAAGAUGAAGAUGUGCUCUUCCAUGGUGUCGAGAGGAGGAGGCGCUUCUCCUGCCAGAUCAGUGGCCAUCACGUCUCCAUCGACGUCGCCGAGCUCCAUGGCUUCCUCGCCUCCUUCUCAGGCGGGCGAUGGUGCACGAUAUGGCCAGCAGGCCAGGUGUGACCUGCGCAAGCAGCACCACUGAUGAGGCACAUGUUGUGGGCUAGCAGCGAUUGGAGGGGACGCCGUUGCAGAUCCUCAUUGUUUCUCUGGGAGAGGAGCUCGUCGACGAUCUAUUUUUCCCCAUAGAUUCGCGAUGGAGGUGCUCGAGGAGGAGCUUCUUCUCUAGACGCCAUGCAAAUUGUCAAGGAGAGGAACACGCCGCUGAAGAACUCGGCAUGGAGGAUCUGAAACCUCACAAGGAAGAAGGAGGUGAACCAUUGUUUAACACGGAUAUGCACAGGCGUGUGGAUGUGCACUGCCCCUGAAUGUGAAGAGCUAUUCAAGAUGUUGCAUUUUUGGUGGAGUUCAAUGCAUCGGCUAGAGGAGGAUGCCGCGACAGGUUAAACUCCUCUGCCGUUGCAGAGCAGUCCACUGUGCCGUCACCGUCAUCCUUGCCUUCGAGCCAUCUGUGACGCUGUCGCCAUCGCUUAGCCCUUCGCCGCGGGGGACACAUAGAUGGGUGAGGAUGCCAGUAGGAAGCAGCAGCUCGCCGUUUCCUUGGUCCCCGCCAACGCCAAGCGAGAAGAGAAGCUUAUUUGUUUGCGGUGAUUGUAAUUGACACGCAGUAGCAAGUCGGGCAUAUGAAAGGUAUCAACAGUGGACAAGAUGAUGACUCCAAUCGAUUUGGUGUGGAAGCAUGACAAAUUGAUAAAUGUUGGAAAAUAUCAGAUCACAAAGCUAGAGUGCUCGCCCUUGAUGUAACGGUUCAACACAGCAUCGCUAAUUGCAUUUGUGCCUAAUUGCCUUUACAUGCCACUAAAUUUGUACCCAGUAUAUGAAUGGAGCCUCUCUUUCCAUGUGUAUAACCAAUUCGUCAGCAUAGUACUACUGCCCGACUGAGCAUUUCUGUGCCAAGGCUGAAGUUUUCUUUCUUGGGCAACUAAGACAGAAGAACCUGGUGAAAUUGGUUGGGUAGUGCUACGAGCACGAACACCGGAUGUUGGUGUACAAAUUCAUGAGCGUUGGGAGCCUUGAGACGCACCUCUUCAGAACUUCUUGGUACUUGCAAGUUAGUACAACUCUUGGUCAAUGUGGAGGAGGAAACUGACCUGAAACAUCCUAUUUCCUUCACGUAUAAAUGGCUCCCUCCUGCGGAUGAUAAGGAUGAAGAUCGCCGUCAGCCCAAGGGCCUUAACUUUCUCCAUGACGCCAACCUGCCGGUGAUCUACAAGCAGGCCUCCAACAUCUUGCUCGACUAGUGCAAGCUGCAGGGUCAGUCUGAGCCUUCACGAGCUCGACAUCGGGGCCAACACUCUACAUACUUAUCGACGCGGUGUAGUACCAGGAGGAGCAGAUGUGAAAAGCGGUGCAAAGUGUGCCUUAUGAUGCUUGGAACUGUGCAUCUACUUUUCGCCAGUGCAUGGUUGCUUUUGAACCACCUCUCUUUGCAGUCAGUCAUUUAGGCUGCAAGAAUGCUGCAUCUCUGUUCAUAUAAGCUUAUCCAUAUAUAUGAUGCCCCUGUCUUUGCA